rnacentral:rRNA from 1 species
AUUACUCCUACGGGAGGCAGCAGUGGGGAAUAUUGGACAAUGGGCGGAAGCCUGAUCCAGCCAUGCCGCGUGUGUGAAGAAGGCCUUAUGGUUGUAAAGCACUUUAAGCGAGGAGGAGGCUACUUGGAUUAAUACUCUAGGAUAGUGGACGUUACUCGCAGAAUAAGCACCGGCUAACUCUGUGCCAGCAGCCGCGGUAAUAAU